GACGAACGCUGGCGGCGUGCUUAACACAUGCAAGUCGAACGGAAAGGCCCUGCCUUUGUGGGGUGCUCGAGUGGCGAACGGGUGAGUAACACGUGAGUAACCUGCCCUUGACUUUGGGAUAACUUCAGGAAACUGGGGCUAAUACCGGAUAGGAGCUCCUGCUGCAUGGUGGGGGUUGGAAAGUUUCGGCGGUUGGGGAUGGACUCGCGGCUUAUCAGCUUGUUGGUGGGGUAGUGGCUUACCAAGGCUUUGACGGGUAGCCGGCCUGAGAGGGUGACCGGCCACAUUGGGACUGAGAUACGGCCCAGACUCCUACGGGAGGCAGCAGUGGGGAAUAUUGCACAAUGGGCGGAAGCCUGAUACAGCAACGCCGCGUGCGGGAUGACGGCCUUCGGGUUGUAAACCGCUUUCGCCUGUGACGAAGCGUGAGUGACGGUAAUGGGUAAAGAAGCACCGGCUAACUACGUG
rnacentral:rRNA from 1 species